rnacentral:antisense_RNA from 1 species
AAAAGCACACACCAGGCGGGAAAGGAGAGAGAAGGAAAAACCCACUCCUAGCCACACAAUGGUGGAUCUUAAUAUCCAAUGAAAAGAAAAAAUUCUAAUGUAGGUCACACGCAAUAGAUAACCCAAUAUAAAAUGAACAAGACGUGAUCAAGCAAAUCAAAGAAAAAUGUACAUCAAUAAAUAUGUUAAGACAUGUUCAAUGUUACCGGUGAUCAAGGAAUUUCAAAUCAAGAUCAAAAUGGUAUACCAUUUACAGCCAUCCCUCUGGCAAAAAUUAAAUACCAAGUGUCAGACAUGAGAUGGCUCAGAGCUCUCCUGUGUUGCUAGUGAAAUGUUAACUGGUUCAACAACUAUGUAAGUCAGCAGGACAUUAUGUCCUAAAAUUGAACAUUCGUGUGCCCUAUGACCUAGUUAUUCCACUCAGGUCUAUACAAAAGAGAAAACCAUGCACAUAUGGAACAUGCACAGCAGAAAACGUGAAAGAAUAUCCCAUGCUCUUCAGAAGAGCAAAAACCUGGAAAUGACCAAAGGCCCAUCAACAGAAGAGUGGAUAAAUUAACUUCGGCAGAUCCACACAAUAAAAUAUCACAGCAGUCAGAAGGAAUAAACCACAGUGAAAAACAACAAUAUGGUUGAUUUUUAGUAAUAUUACUGUUAUCACUUAAGUCCCAAAAAGUUACACAUAGGAAGAUAAGUUAGUUGCAUACACACAGAUUUUUUUUUGGAAAUUAGAUACAGAAGAAAAAAUUAAUACAAGAUGGGAGCUAAUGAUUACUUCUAGUGAAAAGUGAAAGAGGGAAAAGUAAAACAGUGGUUACUGCCAAGAUCCUAGAUUUUUGUUGGAAACAGUGCUCGCUACAUUAUACAAAACAACUAAUUUUUUAAAAGGAAAAAGGUUAGUCCAUGGAUUAACACAUGGCUCACUGUACGUGCCAUGAGCUCGGGAUGAUAGCUGAUCCAAUCCCAUAUACACCUGAAGUCUUGGGGCAGGGGCGGACCACAAGUCAGCGCUGCCCCCACAACACCAGGCUGAUGGCCCGGUGAUUCUUCUGCCUGUGUGCAAAAGUCGGCCAGGACCAUCCUUCUCCAUCUGCAACACCCAGGGUCUUUUCUAAAACUUUUGCCCAGUCGGCUCAGCCAAAAGGACACAGAAGCCCUGCAGAGGCUCUGAAACCAAGGACAGAGCCCUACGGACAGCUCCCACGCCUGGACAGCUCCCGCGCCUGGACAGUUCCCGCGCCUGGACAGCUCCCGUGCCUGGACAGCUCCGCGCCUGGACAGCUCCCCGCCUGGCAGCUCCCCCUGUCCCGCCCGCAGUGGGCGUGUCUGGGAGGCACUGAGCAGGGGCCGGGGCGGGCUCAGCGGUGACGAGGUACCCGCCUAGGGAGAUGCGCAGCUGGAGGUCCAUGAGGGCUGGAGACGCGGAAGGCGCAUGGGGCACAGCAGGCGCACGGGGCAUGCAGCGUACAGGGAGGCGGGGGGGAAGCGGGGGGGAGGCGCGUGGGGCGCAGCAGGCGCACGGGGCAUGUAGGGUACAGGGAGGCGCGAAGGGGGAGGCGCGUGGGGGGCAGCAGGCGGACGGGGCAUGCAGCGUACAGGGAGGCGCCAGGGGGGAGGCGCGUGGGGCACAGAGGACGCCGGGUGGUACACGGGAUAGGCAGAGAGGCACAGGGGUGGGGAGGUGUGGGGCGCGGAGGGGCGUGAGGAGGCGAGGGGCACGGCGAGGCGGAGGGCAGAAGGCACGGGGAGCCCCAUGAGGCACAAAGGGUGCAGGGAGGCACGGGGGCCGAGGAGGCGCGGAGGACCGGGGAGGCGCAAGAGGCCCAGGAUGCGCGGGGUCCUGGGGAAGCGCGAGAGGCCCAAGAGUCGUGGGGGACAUGGAGAGGUGCAGGGGACCCAGGGAGGCUCGAUGGGCCAAGGAGGCGAGGAAAGCUGCAGUUGGGGGAGGGGAGAGAAUGGGGCGGGUGGGGGAUGGGGGGCGGCCGCUGCAGGCAAAGGGAUGCGGUGUUUCCUGGCAGCUUCAGAAGCCAAGCCCCCAACCUCGUAACCUGUUCACACAUAGGGUGACCCCUCUGUGUCAAGAACCCCUACGGGUCCCUCAUAAUGUGCGGGUCACUUCCUGAAAAGGAGGCAGAAAAAGGCCCUGGAAGCGGGAAGGGAGAGACCCAGCCGCACGGCCACGCUGGCGGCCACUGCAUCCCUCGGCGGUAGACCCGGGCGGGGCGCACACCCACCCCUCGCCGGCUUCCUCGCAGCCCAGUGGCCAAGGGCGACACCAGCGAGAGGCCGCAGAGAACCGCGGCCUCCCAGAUAAGGGCCAGGCAGGGACUGCGGGAUGCCGCCACCACGCCAGGCCGCCAGUCAGCUCCCAAGACCUGUCCCCAACAUGCCAGGCCUCGGCCUCCCAGCACUGCAGACCCCAAGCUCCAGGUUCGCGGGGCUGCCCGCUGGAACCCCUAAGACUCGCUGGCAGAGCCUCCUUAGAACCACAUUAGACCAAGCUGUAUCAUCUUUUAUACACAAAGCUGUUCGUUGUUUUUCAGCUGCCAUGGCUUCCAGUUUGAGAUCAUGUCACCGGAGCCUGCACAGAUGAACCAAGCUUGCAACACGGGAGGAACCUAAGCGCUGGACUGAGGAGCGGGACUGAAAUAAGAAGCGCACACCACAUGGCAAGAUCCAGGAUCCAAUCAGAUAGAGCCCUGGUGUCAUUUAAUUGCAAGAUCCAAUCAGAACACACUUCAUUACCAUAAGCUUAUAAAACCCGACCCAGCCGCCAGCUUGGGGAGACAGGUUUGACCUUUCCUCCUGUCUCGUCGCAGUGCAGUCCACUCUCUCCAGCAAAUACCCUGCGCUUUGGUGUUUGGCUUUCCCUGGUGCACAGGCAGACAGGUCCAGUUUGGUUUGGUUGACACUCUAGGCCAUGCUCACACACUCGCCAGGCCUACCAGGACACAUUCACCAGGCCCUCCAAACCAUGCUCACAGGAACCACCAGGCUGCACACAAGGGCCCUCCACACCACACCACACUUGGCCGCACCUUCCGGGGCCACACCUUGAGGUUCUCCAGAAUCUGCAGGGACCUCAGUGCCAGCCAGGCCACACCACCCAGCACUCUAAGCCACACUCACUAGACCCACCCGGAACAACAGGCCACACCUCUGAGUGCUCCAGAUAGCGCUUGCCAGACCCCUCCAGACCACACUGGCCAGGCGGCACCUCGGAGCCCUCUAGGCCACGCUCUCAAGGGUACCACCAUGCCAGGCUGCACCAGGCCCUCACGUGCUUCUCGGUCAGGCCACCAAGUCGCACUCUGCAGGCCCACCAGGCUGCACCUCCAAGCCCAAGCAAGCCCACAGUGAUUCGGCCUUCUUGAAGCCACAAAGCCUGGUGAUCCUGACUUCACAGGCAACCCUCCUGCCUGCCGCAUCGGCCACAGCAAUUAUAUUAUUGCCACGGCAAUUAGAACCUACAAGGCAGACAGAGAACCCUUCCUGUCCUACUUCCCGAUGUGUUCAAGCAAGUCUUCCUCUCUCCCCUGAACCACCCACUUAGCAUUGCCUUCAACAUGUACUAUUCACGCUAUUUUCCCAAAUUAAAAAAAAAAAUACUCAUCCAAUUUUUUUACCUCCAGCUUCUCUAUUUAUAUGGAUACCCUUUUUAAAAGAUAUUUAUUUUCUUGCUACCACCAACACACUCCUUGGCUACCCUUCUUGUCCCCUGAACUGGCUGUUCCCCCAGAGAAACACACAGCUCACUCCCUCAACUCGAGGUCUUUACUUACAUGUCACAUUCUCGGUGACACUUACCCUAUUUAAUAUCCUUGCACGCACACCCGAGCCCCCAGUACUCCUGAUUACCCUUCCUUUCCUUUUUUGUAGCAGUCAUCACAGUUUAACAUACUACUUAGCCACUGCUUUUUUCAUCUGUCUCCCACCCUACUAAAAUGUAAGCUCCAUGAAAAAAAGAGAUUGUCUGUUGUAGUGACUGAUUCAAUUCCAGUACCUAAACCAGUGCCUACAUAUGACUGAUAGUCAAAUAUUUAUUAUAAAUAAACAUUAACUGUUGGCUGUUUUAAUAUAAUGUAUACAUAUAAUUUUAGAUGAUUUAACCAAGUAAAUAAGAAAAUACACUAUAAAUUACUGAACCAUACCCAUACAGUAGAUUGUUCCAGCAUAUUUGCCACAAUAAACAAUGCUACCAAAAACCUUUUGUACAAAUAUCUACAUAUAGUACUACUUCUUCUACCCGUUUGAGUCACAAAAGAUUAUGUGAAUAUACGUUUUAAAAUGUAACAGGUAUUGCCAGACUAUCAGGAGAGACCAUAAAUCAAAUAAAAACAUGAGUUGUAUCCAAAACUCAACCAGGUAUCAUCUUAAAUAUCCAACAGAAUUC